rnacentral:rRNA from 1 species
UACGUAGGGGGCAAGCGUUGUCCGGAAUCAUUGGGCGUAAAGCGCGUGUAGGCGGCCAUGUAAGUCCGUUCUGAAAGCCCGGGGCUCAACCCCGGGAGGCGGAUGGAUACUGCAUGGCUCGAGUACGGAAGAGGCGAGUGGAAUUCCCGGUGUAGCGGUGAAAUGCGCAGAUAUCGGGAGGAACACCAAUGGCGAAGGCAGCUCGCUGGGAAGUUACUGACGCUGAGACGCGAAAGCGUGGGGAGCAAACAGG